AUGGCUCAGGAUGAACGCUAGCUACAGGCUUAACACAUGCAAGUCGAGGGGUAGCAGGGUAGCAAUACCGCUGACGACCGGCGCACGGGUGAGUAACACGUAUCCAACCUUCCCAUAACUCAGGGAUAACCUUUCGAAAGAAAGAUUUAAUACCUGAUAGUACUUUUUCAAGGCAUCUUGAAAAAGUUAAAGAUUUAUUGGUUAUGGAUGGGGAUGCGUUCCAUUAGAUAGUUGGUGAGGUAACGGCUCACCAAGUCUUCGAUGGAUAGGGGUUCUGAGAGGAAGGUCCCCCACAUUGGUACUGAGACACGGACCAAACUCCUACGGGAGGCAGCAGUGAGGAAUAUUGGUCAAUGGGCGAGAGCCUGAACCAGCCAAGUAGCGUGAAGGAAUGAAGGUCCUAUGGAUUGUAAACUUCUUUUAUAGUAGAAUAAAGUGAGCCACGUGUGGUUUUUUGUAUGUAUACUAUGAAUAAGGAUCGGCUAACUCCGUGCCAGCAGCGGC
rnacentral:rRNA from 1 species